GAUGAACGCUGGCGGCGUGCUUAACACAUGCAAGUCGAACGAUGAAGCUCAGCUUGCUGGGUGGAUUAGUGGCGAACGGGUGAGUAACACGUGAGUAACCUGCCCUUAACUCUGGGAUAAGCCUGGGAAACUAGGACUAAUACCGGAUAGGAGCGCCUACCGCAUGGUGGGUGUUGGAAAGAUUUAUCGGUUUUGGAUGGACUCGCGGCCUAUCAGCUUGUUGGUGAGGUAAUGGCUCACCAAGGCGACGACGGGUAGCCGGCCUGAGAGGGUGACCGGCCACACUGGGACUGAGACACGGCCCAGACUCCUACGGGAGGCAGCAGUGGGGAAUAUUGCACAAUGGGCGAAAGCCUGAUGCAGCGACGCCGCGUGAGGGAUGACGGCCUUCGGGUUGUAAACCUCUUUCAGUAGGGAAGAAGCGAAAGUGACGGUACCUGCAGAAGAAGCACCGGCUAACUACGUG
rnacentral:rRNA from 1 species